rnacentral:rRNA from 1 species
GUAGUCCACGCCGUAAACGAUGGAUACUAGCUGUUGGAGGUAUCGACCCCUUCAGUAGCGAAGCUAACGCGUUAAGUAUCCCGCCUGUGGAGUACGGUCGCAAGACUAAAACAUAAAGGAAUUGACGGGGACCCGCACAAGCGGUGGAUCGUGUUCUUUAAUUCGAUGAUAAACGAAGAACCUUACCAGGGUUUGACAUCCUUGGAAUUUCUGUGAAAGCAGAGAGUGCUUUAUUGGGCCAAGUGACAGGUGCUGCAUGGCCGUCGUCAGCUCGCGUCGUGAGAUGUUUGGUUAAGUCCAUCAACGAGCGCAACCCUUGUGAAUAGUUGUAUUUUUCUAUUCAGACUGCCCCGGUAACGGGGAGGAAGGAGGGGAUGAUGUCAGGUCAGUAUUGCCCUUACACCCUGGGCUAGAAACACGAUACAAUGGUUAGUACAAUGCGCAGCAAAACCGCGAGGUGGAGCAAAUCGCAUCAAAGCUAAUCUCAGUUCGGAUAAGAGGCUGAAACUCGCCUCUUUGAAGUCGGAAUCGCUAGUAAUCGCAGAUCAGCAAGCUGCGGUGAAUACGUUCCCGGGUCUUGUACACACCGCCCGUCAAACCAUGAAAGUCACCAACACCCGAAGUCCGAUUCGUCGGCCUAAGGUGGGGGGGAUGAUUGGGGUU